rnacentral:rRNA from 1 species
UACGUAGGGUGCAAGCGUUGUCCGGAAUUACUGGGCGUAAAGGGUUCGUAGGUGGUGCGGCAAGUUGGGAGUGAAAUCUCUGGGCUUAACCCAGAGGCUGCUUUCAAAACUGCCGUGCUCGAGUGCGAGAGGGGUCAGUGGAAUUGCAGGUGUAGCAGUGAAAUGCGUAGAUAUCUGCAGGAACACCCGUGGCGAAGGCGGCUGACUGGAUCGCAACUGACACUGAGGAACGAAAGCUAGGGGAGCAAACAGG